rnacentral:rRNA from 1 species
AAAGUGGCGUGGCCCUUCGGGGUAUCCCUCCCACCCUUUGUUUAAAAACCCUGAGUUGCGUUGGCAGACCCGGCUUCGGCCCACCGGCUCCGGCUAGUCAGUAUCUGCCAGAGGACCUAAAACUCUGUUUGUUAAUAUUGUCUGAGUACUAUAUAAUAGUUAAAACUUUCAACAACGGAUCUCUUGGUUCUGGCAUCGAUGAAGAACGCAGCGAAAUGCGAUAAGUAAUGUGAAUUGCAGAAUUCAGUGAAUCAUCGAAUCUUUGAACGCACAUUGCGCCCUCUGGUAUUCCGGGGGGCAUGCCUGUUCGAGCGUCAUUACAACCCUCAAGCUUUGCUUGGUAUUGGGCCGCGCCGGCAACGGCGGGCCUCAAAAACAGUGGCGGCGCCAUCGUGUCCCUCAGCGUAGUAAUUCUUCUCGCUGUUGGGCCCCGGUGGCCGCUGGCCAGCAACCCCCAAUUUUUCUAUGGUUGACCUCGGAUCAGGUAGGGAUACCCGCUGAACUUAA